GACGAACGCUGGCGGCGUGCUUAACACAUGCAAGUCGAACGGAGUGCCCAUGACAGAGGUUUCGGCCAAUGGAUUGGGUUACUUAGUGGCGGACUGGUGAGUAACGCGUGAGGAACCUGCCUUUCAGAGGGGGACAACAGUUGGAAACGACUGCUAAUACCGCAUGACAUAUAUUAAGGGCAUCUUUGAUAUAUCAAAGAUUUUAUCGCUGAAAGAUGGCCUCGCGUCCGAUUAGAUAGUUGGCGGGGUAACGGCCCACCAAGUCGACGAUCGGUAGCCGGACUGAGAGGUUGACCGGCCACAUUGGGACUGAGAUACGGCCCAGACUCCUACGGGAGGCAGCAGUGGGGAAUAUUGGGCAAUGGACGCAAGUCUGACCCAGCAACGCCGCGUGAAGGAAGAAGGUCUUCGGAUUGUAAACUUCUUUUAUCAGGGACGAAGGAAGUGACGGUACCUGAUGAAUAAGCCACGGCUAACUACGUG
rnacentral:rRNA from 1 species